UGGGAAAUUUAGUAAAAGACAAAAGAUUUCUUUGUCUUUGGGAAAAUUAUUUCCCUCAUCAAGCAUGCAGGGUCGAAUUAGAAGACAAAGAAAUCUUUUGUUUUCAACUAAAUUUCCCG